rnacentral:rRNA from 1 species
UACAGAGGGUGCGAGCGUUGUCCGGAAUCACUGGGCGUAAAGGGCGCGUAGGCGGCUUGAUAAGUAGGGGGUGAAAUCCUGUGGCUUAACUGCAGGGCUGCCUCCUAGACUGUCUGGCUCGAGCACGGUAGAGGCAGAUGGAAUUCCCGGUGUAGCGGUGGAAUGCGUAGAGAUCGGGAAGAACAUCGGUGGCGAAGGCGGUCUGCUGGGCCGGCACUGACGCUGAGGAGCGAAAGCGUGGGGAGCGAACAGG